AAUUAAUAAUUAAUAAUUAGACAAAAGGUCACAAAAUGUACAAUAAUUAAUAGGUUAAAGUUAUUGAAUCAUUCGUAUUUGUUAGCUUUCUUAACAUUAUCUGUCGAAUAUAGGAUCACCAUUUUUUGAUUUUUUGAAGUCCUGCGCGAAAAUCUCUCGGACAAAAUGUCCCUAGAAAAAAUAAUCUCACUAGAAAAAAACCAAUAGCCUAAUAAACAGUGUGAUCAACAUUAAUAAUGAAUUAAUUCCUGUUCGGGCAACGAGUUUGCAUGUGUCAUAACCUUCAUCUGAUCCCUUAUAAAUUGUAAUCCAUUUAAUCGGCUGUGAAGUUAUUAUUGUUACAAUUAUUAAAUAUUUCAUCAGUGCAGACAUUGUGAGUGAUAGUUAAUUAGCCCAGAGAUUAUGACUGAAAACAGAGUGCGACUAUGACUGAAAACAGAGUGCGAGAUCAUUUAUGUUAUUAUACCGAUAUUCAAAUAUCUACGCAGUGAAUGACAUUAACAAGGGUGGGAAACGAUCAUAUAUUAAACUGACAUCAUCCAAUAAUUUAACUAUUGAUAGGAAAUCCAGUGAAGAAAGUUUUCCAAUUCUGUUACAACUCGAUUCCUCGGUGUCAAAAGUGACUUUGCUGCAGACUAAAGAUCAUAAUUGAAGGUCUCCAAAUUAAUUUUUCUCUAACCCAUUCUAUGGUUUCUAACUAUUUUAUCCUCAGCAAUGAAAUAAUAAGUACCGAAAAAUGUAUUUAAUUUUGCUAAAUUUUCGAGUGAUAAAUUUCACUUCGUGUCAGGGAAAUUAAUUCACUCCAAUCUUUUGAAAAAAAAAAAAAUUAAUAAAAAAAUCACUACUGCAUUGAGUACUAAUAGUAAUGAGAGUCGAAGAAUAAAAAUUAACAUGAAAUUUAUGAAAUUCUAAUCACUGAGAUGAUAGCGCUCAAUGAUGAAAUAGUGAUUUUGUUAUUGAUUUUUAUUUUUCCUUAUUUUUUCUUUGACUAAUGGAAACAAAUUAAUUGUCCUGGUGCGGAGGGGGAUUUAUUACUCGCGACGUUAAAAGAGUUAGGAAAUUUUUUGGCAUUGAUUUCAUUGUGGAGGAUCGAAUAUAUGAAAAUCGUAGAAUAACCUGAAGGAGGAAAACUAACUUUGAUAUUAAUGUAGGGUGUUGGAAAAAUAAUUCAGUUAUAACCAAAGGUCGAUGAAAAUUCAAAAUCCCUUGUUUAAUCAUUCGCAGAAAACUUCGCCCAGAGAGAGGUUUCCCAUCGCCACUCUUCACAAUCUAUACCACUCAUUUAAGCAAAACAUAAAGGUGAGCUCAUUUUUAAUAACUCUGAAAAAAAAAUCCAGUAGAUUUAUCAAUUUAUCACAACAAUUUCAUAAUCACCGUAAUUCUUUUUCAGGUACAUGGUCACAAAACAUUUAUAAGUUAUUUCAAGAAACAAGAAAUGUAAAUUACUUUGUAAACAAUAAAUAAAAUGAAACAAUAAAGAUUGCACUGCAUUGACAUUAUUGGUGAAAAAAAUAGUGUUAUUUAUAUCAUUUCUGCAUGAUUUGAAAUUUUUCAGGAAAAGUGGUUUGAUUUGAUACUAUAUAAUGAAAUACAAGUAACAGAUAACAAAUGACAAAUAAUCAAUAACAAAUAACUUAUAGCAAAUAGCAAACAACAAACACAUUUCUAAUGUAAAUGUCAAAUUUGAUUCAACUGACCAUAAAAAAUCUGCAAUAUUAUACAAAGAUCUACACAAUUUUAGAUUGAGUUUCAGACAAUCAAAUCCCGAUAAUAAACCACAAUGCCUAAACGAAACAUCAUACGUUCUGAAGAAGAAGAAGAAGAAGAGUUAAAAAGAAUUAAGCGCCAAAAAAAUGCUGAUCGACAGCGAGCUUGCCGUCACACGAUUCCCGCUAACUCAAUUGCUUCAGGUCAAUC